rnacentral:rRNA from 1 species
AACGAACGCUGGCGGCAUGCCUAACACAUGCAAGUCGAACGAGACCUUCGGGUCUAGUCGCGCAUGGGUGCGUAACCCGUGGGAACCUGCCCUUAGGUUUGGAAUAACUCCCCGAAUGGGGUGCUAAUACCGGAUCAUGUCUUCUGACCAAAGAUCUAUCGCGUUUGGUUGGGCCCGCGUUGGAUUAGCUUGUUAGUAGGCUAAAAGACUACCAAGGGGAGGAUCCAUACCUGGUUAGGGAGGCAGGUCAGCCACACUGGGAGUGAGACACGGCCGGGACUCCUACGGGAGGGGGCAGUGGGGGAUAGUGGACAGUCGGGUGAGGCAUGAAGCAGCAAGGCCGCGAAAGCGAUGAAAGCCGUAGGGAUGUAAAGCGCUUUUACCCGGGAUGAUAAUGACGGUACCGGGAGAAUAAGCUCCGGCUAACUCCGUG